AAAAGCAAUGAUCGAUGCUGUUACGGGCAUAUCAAACACGCCAGCGAUUUCAACUCGCAGGUUCCGUGCGAUGGAAUCAAGACGCUAGCUAUUUCAAUUGGCAGGGUGCGUGCAACAGCAAUGGCUGUUGUGUGAUCCGUAGAUGGCAACUAGACGUCCCCAGCCUCUGAUUGAUGAGAUUUAGAUCUCACUCGGGCCAACAUAGCCUGAGUAGACGCCGGCCUUCUGGCGUAAAGAAAGCUGACGAACACCACAAGAUCGGACGCCGGAAUUCUCUCACCAAGGAAGAUGACGAGAACACACAAGGUGUUUGACGAACACACAAGGUGUUUCGAGUUAACAUAAGCUCUCCAAUGAGUCUGUAUGGCGAAUAUUUGGUUCUCUCUCCGGUUCAAAAUAAUUGCCCAAAAAUAGAUCUCAAUUUGAGGUGAUCGAUGGCGACAAGAAGAGGCAUGCAAAGGUGAGGCGUCGAACAGUAUUUGCUGAACAGUUUUUGAUGCAGGUUCUAAUAAAAAAAUUGAUGCGCUUGGGCCAAGGUAGCCUGAGUAGACCCGGCGUUCUGGCGCCAAAGAAGCUGAUGAACACCACAAGGUAACUUGAGUCUGCAUCAAGCUCUUAGACGAAUCUGUGUUACGAAUUAGCGAUUUCAACACUAUUUGUGCAGGUUUUGAUCAAAAAAAGGUGAGGCGACAACACUAUUUGUUGAACACUUUUGGUGCAGGUUUUGAUCAAAAAAAUUGAUGCAUGAUUCCGAUUAAAUUCCUGACGUUCCCUUUCAUACGACGGAUGGCGGACCUUGAGUGGAUGAAGAGCAACAACAAAGCCGACAAGUGGUAGAAGGCGAGGCAAUGGACUGGCUGCACAGCCAGCAUCCGUAGGUGGAGUUGUGAAGGUCGUCACUGCGCAGGGUCGGGAAGGAUAUCAUCUGGUUUCUCCGAUGUACUAUAAUUGUAUGAACAUGUAUACUAUAGACGUUGAGAGUAAAAAAAAUAGGUCGACAGGAGUAGGGGAAAAUCGAGUUGAUGGCUUGAGGCAUA